rfam:Callithrix jacchus chromosome 10, whole genome shotgun sequence
UUAUUUUAUUCUUCGGAGCUCGUGGGCAAAUGCUCAUCUGACUUCCAUAGACACAGAGCAAGCAGACUACCACACCAAGAAGAAGAGGGAGAAUAUUU